UACGGAGGGUGCAAGCGUUAUCCGGAUUCACUGGGUUUAAAGGGUGCGUAGGUGGGUUGGUAAGUCAGUGGUGAAAUCUCCAGGCUUAACUUGGAAACUGCCAUUGAUACUAUCAAUCUUGAAUACCGUGGAGGUCAGCGGAAUAUGUCAUGUAGCGGUGAAAUGCUUAGAUAUGACAUAGAACACCAAUUGCGAAGGCAGCUCACUACACAAAUAUUGACGCUGAGGCACGAAAGCGUGGGGAUCAAACAGG
rnacentral:rRNA from 1 species